rnacentral:tRNA from 1 species
CAAGGUAUAGCUUAAACAAAGCACUUUAUUUACACCAAAAAAAUAUUUAUUAACAUAAAUUACCUUGA